rnacentral:misc_RNA from 1 species
GAUGAAGAACGCAGCGAAAUGCGAUACUUGGCGUGAAUUGCAGAAUCCCGUGAACCAUCGAGUCUUUGAACGCAAGUUGCGCCCGAAGCCACUAGGCCGAGGGCACGCCUGCCUGGGCGUCACACGCCGUUGCCCCCCCAUCUACUCCUUCGGGAUUGCGGGGGGGCGGAUGAUGGCCUCCCGUGCGCCUAGCCGCGCGGUUGGCAUAAAUACCAAGUCCUCGGCGACGCACGCCACGACAAUCGGUGGUUGCGAAACCUCGGUUGCCCGUCGUGUGCGUUCGUCGCGCAUCGAGGGCUCGAAAAAAUGCUCGGCUCCGGCUGGGCUUUCAACGCGACCCCAGGUCAGGCGGGGUUACCCGCUGAAUUUAAGCAUAUCAAUAACGGAGGA